CCAGCCUGGGCGACAGAGCAAGACUCCGUCUUAAAAAAAAAAAAAAAGGCUGUUUUCUUCUACCGUCGGCUCACUCUUCAGUUCUUUCCCGAGCAAAACCAAGAAUCUUCUUGGGCAAAGCCCUAAGGUUCACCUGCCUUGCAGCAACAUGGCACCAAACAUGGGGCGGAAGAGAGAAGACGACAGCAUGAGAGACAGAGAAAAAAAUGGCAGUUGGCAAGGUGGUAAUGAGAGAUGGCAGUUGGCAAGACAGUGAGAGACAGUGAGAGAUGGCAAGCGACAGUGAUUGGCAAGAUGACAAGUGGAGAGAUGGCAAGAAAUAGAGAAGCAGUCAGUGAUGGAGGCUGCAAGAGUUGUAACACUAACCAAAGGCUCCUUUUAGAGCCAUCAUUUUCCCUGGCAGGUGGUAGAGCCAAGCAGACAGGCUAGUGGCCAUAUUGCUGCUGCCUCAUGUGGGAACCAGCAGGCUGGAGGGUUAUCAGUCCUCACGUGGGACCCUCCCACCAUGGCAGCUGAGCCCACCUAAGCUGGGGGAUCCUGAAGAGACCUUCACCUGGGUGCCACGUGGAAGAUUGGUCCCCACCGUUUUGGCUGCUGUGGAUGGGACAGUUUGCUUGGGGCACUCAGGAAAUAUGCUAAUGCAGACCCAGACUCCCCAGAAAGUUCCAGGUAAAGACAAUCCUGGCACAAGGCUUCCAACUCGACCUGCCUACUCACCUGGAGAAUGAAAGUGUCCUGCCUCUGGGCCCCUUAGAUCAGUGAUUUAUGAGAGCAGUCCUAUCAGAAGAAGAGGUGGGAGAGAAGCAGGAUGGAACAGAGGAAGAAAACUAAGCAAGUGUGUGGAUACUGUCUUCAGCUUGGACCCACAGGGAGCAUUGGAGCAUAAAUUAUACCACA